GCCCAGGUGAUGGAAUUGGUAGACAUGCUAGAUUUAGGUUCUAGUGUCCUUGUGGCGUGAGAGUUCGAGUCUCUCCCUGGGCACCA
rnacentral:tRNA from 2 species